AUUGAACGCUGGCGGCAGGCCUAACACAUGCAAGUCGAACGGUAACAGGAAGAAGCUUGCUUCUUUGCUGACGAGUGGCGGACGGGUGAGUAAUGUCUGGGAAACUGCCUGAUGGAGGGGGAUAACUACUGGAAACGGUAGCUAAUACCGCAUAACGUCGCAAGACCAAAGAGGGGUACCUUCGGGCCUCUUGCCAUCGGAUGUGCCCAGAUGGGAUUAGCUAGUAGGUGGGGUAACGGCUCACCUAGGCGACGAUCCCUAGCUGGUCUGAGAGGAUGACCAGCCACACUGGAACUGAGACACGGUCCAGACUCCUACGGGAGGCAGCAGUGGGGAAUAUUGCACAAAGGGCGCAAGCCUGAUGCAGCCAUGCCGCGUGUAUGAAGAAGGCCUUCGGGUUGUAAAGUACUUUCAGCGGGGAGGAAGGGAGUAAAGUUAAUACCUUUGCUCAUUGACGUUACCCGCAGAAGAAGCACCGGCUAACUCCGUG
rnacentral:rRNA from 1 species